AACACUUCAGGGGAUUUGCAGCGUCUGGAAGGGAGCUAUAAGUGUUCUUUUUUGGACAUCUCAGCGACACCGUGGAUGGGUCACUUGACUUCUGGAGGUCUCUGCGUCCAAAGUUGUACAAUUAAGACCUUUAAGUGCUAUGAACGGUGAAUAUUAUCUUGGCUGUGGCUUCCCGAAGACACUAUCCUCUCUGGCUACUCAAGUGUCAGUCAAGCCAGCAGUUUCCACUGGCCGGGUCCAGGAGGGCCCCUGGUUAUACGAGGCUCUGUGCUCCAAGGCAUUCAGGUUAUUUCAUCUUAUUUAUUUCAAGACAUGUUUAAUAUGUAGCCGCAGGGGGAAAAAAACAACCUUACUACACGUUACAAGCUGGAUCUAUCCGUCACCUUCGCCUGCUUUCUAAAACUGUAGACAUGGCCGGGUCCUGGAGGUUCCCCUUGUGACAAGAAUAGCCCCAUGAUUUCAUGAAUGAGGGACCUGCAGGGUGAGAGACUCUAUUUCUGAGUCAAAGAAGGAUCUGGAAAACUAACUGGAACUUGAACAAAAACAAGACCGAGGACUUUGAUGUGGGAUAUGUUUUUAAAAAAAAUCAUUAACUUGCAAUUAUAAGAUUUAAUUUGUGAGGCUGUGGUGUACUUGGAAACCACUGCUCAGCUACAGUGAAGUGAGUGAGAGUGUGAGAGGGACAGCAGCAGCAGCAAGUGUCAUCUGGUCUUCCAACUUGGGGAGGGCUUUGGAGUUUAAAAUGGUGUGAAUAUGAUAGCCAUCGGUAUAGCGUAUGCAAGUGGAGAUCUGUCUGCAACCAUUGAAAAGUUGACAGUUCAGAGGCACUAAUCUGACAAAGGGACGGUGUAAAUCAACAACAACACAACGAUUUUGGAUAUCAACAGAUAUUGGGACUUAUUGGGUGCGCUGAAAAAAAAAGAGGGGACUUUGCCUGAGUCUUUGGAGGCUGCAUGAGAAAGAGAGUUGGGAGGACGCACAGGCAAAAGGGCAAGAGGAAGACACCAAGGAGGUGAGUGACGGAUUUACCCUCGGAAGGGGUAAAAAGAUGACUGUGGUGUCCCAGGAGAACCACGACGAGACUGUGGUCAUAACUCCUUUGCUGCAAGAUGCUGCUGACUUGGAACCAGCGGACCAGGAGUGCAGCGAGAGGGUGGUCAUCAACAUCUCAGGUCUGCGUUUUGAGACCCAAUUAAAGACCCUCUCCCGCUUCCCGGCCACGCUUUUGGGUGAUCCGCGUAAAAGGAUGCGUUUUUUCGACCCGCUGAGAAAUGAGUACUUCUUUGACAGGAACAGGCCGAGCUUUGAUGCCAUCCUCUAUUAUUACCAGUCAGGUGGGCGGCUUCGGAGGCCCGUGAGUGUCCCUGUGGAUAUUUUCCUGGAAGAAAUCAGGUUUUAUGAACUUGAGGAAGAAGUCAUUGAGCUUUUCCGAGACGAUGAAGGCCUGGCGAGGGAAGAGGAGCGUCCGUUGCCUAAUAACGAGUUUCAGCGACAGUUUUGGCUCCUGUUUGAGUAUCCAGAGAGUUCAGGACCUGCACGGAUAAUUGCCAUCGUGUCAGUUAUGGUUAUCUUAAUAUCCAUCAUUAUAUUCUGCUUGGAGACUUUACCUGAGUUUAGAGAUACCCCCGCAGUGCACGACAAUAACGCCAAUGGUACUGCUUCUGGCAAAACGCUCAGUCCGUUCACAGAUCCCUUUUUCAUGGUGGAGACACUUUGCAUUGUGUGGUUCUCUUUUGAAUUCACCAUGAGGUUCCUCUCCUGUCCCAGCAAACCAGCUUUCUUUAAAAACAUCAUGAACUUGAUCGAUGUUGUGGCCAUAGCACCUUAUUUUAUCACCCUGGGCCUUGAUCUCGCAGAGCAUCAGGGCAGCAGUCAGCAGGCUGCGUCUUUGGCCAUACUGAGGGUCAUCCGUCUGGUGCGCGUUUUCAGGAUUUUUAAACUUUCCAGACACUCCAAGGGUCUCCAGAUUCUCGGCCAAACGCUUCACGCAAGCCUCAGGGAGCUGGGACUGCUCAUAUUCUUCCUGAUUAUUGGAGUUGUUUUAUUCUCCAGUUCUGUUUAUUUUGCAGAAGCAGAAGACCCCGAGUCUGGAUUUACAAGUAUUCCUGAUGCGUUUUGGUGGGCUGUGGUGACAAUGACCACAGUUGGGUACGGAGACAUGUGUCCCUCCACCAUCUGGGGGAAAUUCGUUGGAUCUCUGUGCGCCAUCGCCGGAGUGCUAACCAUAGCUUUACCAGUCCCUGUGAUAGUGUCAAAUUUCAAUUAUUUCUACCACAGAGAGAACGAGGAGGAGGAAAACCUUACGUAUGUACACGUGACUUGUGGACAGCAGCAGUACCAGCCCUCCUUUGGUGAAUGUGAUUCAACUAAAAGUACCCAGUCACUCUCCAAAACUGAGUCCUAUCAUGAAAGCGACGACUUUGAAACUUACAUACAACAAAACGUACAUCCAGUGGAGAUAUACACAGGGAAACUGACAGAUGUAUAAAAAGGGCAGCCGGUUUUAUUUCUGGUGAGUUCCUGUGAACAUACAAUCAGGCUCCAUCAUGUCGGAUGCUGCAGAUGUUUUACGCACGCGUGGAGCCUCAGAUGUGCACGCUACAACCCCAACAAAACGAUGAUUGGCUUCAUUUCAGUGAGGCAGGCGAUUAAAUGAAGCUCGUUUCUCCAUCAGAGUCGCAACAAAAUAAGAAGUGUGGGAUUUGUCUUCGCCAAAACGUUGGAUCAUUUUUCUCAUGGAUAUUCAUGAAAUGCCAGUGUUUGGAAAAUGUCUUGGACAUUGUGUGUAUCAUCAGUAGAAAGAAAACAACAUUCUUUUGUGUAGGCUUUAUAAAUGACCACGCUUUCUUUGUAUAAAAGCCUUGUGUAUACUGCGUUUUUUUUUUUGUAACUCUGAUUUUUUUCCUUUUCUUGUGCAGCUUAUUACGCAAAGUUGGACUUGCAACUUACCUCUGUGUUGUUACGAACAUUCAGAUUGCAUUGCAACAACAUAUAGCCCAGAACAUUACGAUGCAAUGUCUGCAUGACAUGAAGUACUCAUUGUGACUUUUAAAUGUAAUAAAAUAUUUAUUUUUCUAAUUUAAACAUGUAUGUGAACUUAACUUAAUCAUUGUUUUUUUUAUAAAUAAAUUGUGAAUCAGAAAAUAUACCACUCAUUAUUUGUCACAUAUGACACAGAUGAGACUCAGAGAAAGCCCCUUUAAUUAGUCUAAUACACUUCAUCACGUUUGGUGCUGAAUAAUAGGAAAAAGGCGCAGAAGCAGACAUUGGGUUGUCUUGCCACAAAACCAAUUAAUUUAAUAAAAUGUCAUAGUGACAAAGAGAAGGGGGAUUUGUUUGGCUAGAGGCGGAUUUUUAAUAAAUUGGGUCCAGAUCACCUGAUUUUGUGUUGAAUGUGUGUUUUUGAGUUAGUUCUGCCCUCUCACUGUGUGUGUGUGUAUGUUUUUUUAGGCCCGCCUACAUACAGGCCCUUCAAAGUCAGCAGUGGACACAUAUAGGUUAUUAAUGGAUUACCGUAAUGAGUUGCUCUGGUUGUUUGUUUUUGGGAUUUGUAGUUUUCUCUGAGGUGGAUCAAUCAUCUGCGCUCUCCGUGGUGCUGAAACUGAUCCUCCGCCCUCUGCAGAG